ensembl:lncRNA
AUGGGCUGCCACGGUGAGGGAGGAAGGGUGAGAAGGAAGGACAGAAGGCGUCAGGGCUGGCUUCGCACCAUAGCAGCGGGCUGUGCUGGAGCCUGUGUUGCUGAUUGUUCUCUUCCCUGGAGCAGUUCAACGUGUAGAAGCGUAGCGAGGGCAUUGGCAGCUUUUACCUCAGCAUCAUCCAGCCCUGCUGAGAGGCACUCGACGCAGAACGGUGCUAAAAUGCUGGCAGAGCCUUUUGACCCUACCAUGGCCUCUAAUCUAAAAGUCAUCUUCCUGUUUCUUUGGUCGCUUCUCUGUGAAGGGGGAGAUGUCAAGGUACAGCAGAAUCCUCUAAUCCAAGUUGCACUGCUCAAGGAAGAAGUGUCCAUCCCCUGUGAAGUCACCUUCCUUUACACCCUGAAAUACACCAAAUUUUCAAUCUUCUAUUACUGGUUUAAUUCAUCGGGUCAGAGGACAUCCAUCUAUAAUCGGGAAGAAAAUGUACAAAUCCCCCCUGGAAAAGAGAAUACGUCCAUAACCAAAUCCUACAAUCACAAAACCAUGCCACUUGAAAGCCACUCUUCUGGCACCUACUAUUGUGAGGUCCAGUGGAGUGACAUCCAGAAAAUGGGAAAUGGAGUGUAUAUCCUUGUGAGAGAGACAGGGUACACCGAGACCUCCUAUGGGUGGGACAUCCUCAUUACCUUUACCGCUCUUCUGGCUGCACUGAGCAUCACUGCAACAGCUCUGCUCGUGUGGAAAAGAAAGGCAUUGUGUCCUAAGAGGAACCAGCUAAAUAUACUGAGGCAGAAGAUAGAAACUCGGCCCCCUUCAGCCAGCCCGCCACCACCUUCUCCUGUUUAUGACUGCCUGAAUUCGCAGCAAGUUGAGGUCUAUUCUGUCCUCGAGAGCAACACAAAGAACCCAGAACCCAGAAGGAAACCUCCGAGGAAGGUAAGGGCUGGGGCAAAAAAUCUUGGAGAGUUCCCUUACACACCGGGCACAUGGGAAGAGAAAACCCUGAGUCGCCACAGCCCCAGCUGGCAUUAA